UUCACUUGCCUCCAUGGCUAAGUGGCUUAACCCCAACGAUGCCGUGGACACCCUCAUGAUGGAGUGACUUUGACAUAAUCAAAGAUCAAGGACUUAACCACAAGACAACUAUGAUGCCUCAGGUCAAAUGACUACUUUGCAUUAUCCCAACCAUGAGUUCUCAUGUGACAUGAGUAUGAGAACUCUUCAUCGAUCACGUUCAGUGAACUCAUUCUCUAUUGAGCACCUACGUACUUGUCUUGAUGUCACACACACCAAUGACUCGAGACUAGUCACUCUCCCUGAGAGAAGACACAGUACGUACCGAUCUUAACGGACUGUCAAUGCCCAAUUGACUGUCAAUGCCCAAUUGACAAUCCUAUGAUCAGGAACAUUUAGGAUGUGUCUACGAAAGAAUGGUCUCAUGAAUCUAACUUCAUUAGAUUGCAUUCUCCCAAUCACAUAUUCCUUGGACUUUAUCGUUUAAGCAUAUAACAUUUAUAUGAGAUGGCUCAAACAAUAAUCUUUGCCCUUUAUAUUAAACUAGAUUAGUUUAACAUGUGAAAUGUCCGUAAAGUAUCAUCACAUGAUUGGUUUUAGGGCACAUUUCCAACAGGGGGUAGGGGUUUGUUGGGUUUUUUUUAUGGGAAGAGAGGUGAAGAGAGUGGAGGAGAGGGAGGUGGGUCAGGGGGGAGGGGGUAAGGUUUCUGGGUUUGUUUGCGGGGGUGGGGGGUUGUGAGAGGUGGUUUUCAGUUUUUUUUUUUUAAAAAAGAUUCAGGUGGUUUUUUUUUAAUUAAAAAAUUAUUGUUUUUGCCACGUUGGCAGCCACGUCAGCA
rnacentral:lncRNA from 1 species